UUAUUCGUCACCGACUGGUGGUGUUUCCUUAAAAUGUGGACAGGAUUUAGCCCAGGAAACUGCAAACUUUGGUGGUAGUGAUAACAAUAUGCUACAAACAGAUUAUGCCCUAGAGUUAGAAGCUUUUCGGGUGCUGAGUUUUUCUGAUUGGCCUGAUAUAGCAUAUAAAGUCAGUUUGCAGGAUAUAUCAGUUCAUAUUCCACUCCAUCGAUUACUUUCAAUGGUUUUACAG
rnacentral:misc_RNA from 1 species